UUGGUUAAGUUAGAAAGGGCGCACGGUGGAUGCCUUGGCACUAGGAGCCGAAGAAGGACGGGACUAACACCGAUAUGCUUUGGGGAGCUGUACGUAAGCGUUGAUCCAGAGAUUUCCGAAUGGGGGAACCCACUAUCUUUAGUCGGAUAGUAUCCUUACGUGAAUACAUAGCGUGAGGAAGGCAGACCCAGGGAACUGAAACAUCUAAGUACCUGGAGGAAGAGAAAGAAAAAUCGAUUUCCUGAGUAGCGGCGAGCGAAACGGAAAGAGCCCAAACCAAGAAGCUUGCUUCUUGGGGUUGUAGGACACUCUAUACGGAGUUACAAAAGAAAGUUAUAAAUGAAGCGGUCUGGAAAGGCCCGCCAAAGACGGUAACAGCCCGGUAGUUGAAAUAGCUUUCCCUCCAGAGUGGAUCCUGAGUACGGCGGAACACGUGAAAUUCCGUCGGAAUCCGGGAGGACCAUCUCCCAAGGCUAAAUACUCCCUAGUGACCGAUAGUGAACCAGUACCGUGAGGGAAAGGUGAAAAGCACCCCGGAAGGGGAGUGAAACAGUUCCUGAAACCGUGUGCCUACAAGUAGUUAGAGCCCGUUAAUGGGUGAUAGCGUGCCUUUUGUAGAAUGAACCGGCGAGUUACGAUUUGUUGCAAGGUUAAGCGGAAAAAGCGGAGCCGUAGCGAAAGCGAGUCUGAAUAGGGCGAAUAAGUAACAGGUCGUAGACCCGAAACCAGGUGAUCUACCCAUGUCCAGGAUGAAGGUAAGGUAAUACUUACUGGAGGUCCGAACCCACGCACGUUGAAAAGUGCGGGGAUGAGGUGUGGGUAGCGGAGAAAUUCCAAUCGAACUUGGAGAUAGCUGGUUCUCUCCGAAAUAGCUUUAGGGCUAGCCUCGAGGUAAAGAGUCAUGGAGGUAGAGCACUGUUUGGACUAGGGGCCCUUCUCGGGUUACCGAAUUCAGAUAAACUCCGAAUGCCAUGUACUUAUACUCGGGAGUCAGACUGCGAGUGAUAAGAUCCGUAGUCGAAAGGGAAACAGCCCAGACCACCAGUUAAGGUCCCCAAAUAUAUGUUAAGUGGAAAAGGAUGUGGGGUUGCUUAGACAACCAGGAUGUUGGCUUAGAAGCAGCCACCAUUGAAAGAGUGCGUAAUAGCUCACUGGUCGAGUGACCCCGCGCCGAAAAUGUACCGGGGCUAAACAUAUUACCGAAACUGUGGAUGAACCUCUUUAGAGGUUC
rnacentral:rRNA from 1 species